UUCACCGAGCCUCUCUCCG
rnacentral:snRNA from 1 species